rnacentral:rRNA from 1 species
UAGCGAAUCUUCCGCAAUGGACGAAAGUCUGACGGAGCAACGCCGCGUGAGUGAAGAAGGAUUUCGGUUCGUAAAACUCUGUUGUUAGGGAAGAAAAAAUGUAUAGUAACUAUAUACAAAAGAGACGGUACCUAACCAGAAAGCCACGGCUAACUACGUGCCAGCAGCCGCGGUAAUACGUAGGUGGCAAGCGUUGUCCGGAAUUAUUGGGCGUAAAGCGCGCGCAGGUGGUUUAGAAAGUCUGAUGUGAAAGCCCACGGCUCAACCGUGGAGGGUCAUUGGAAACUAAUAAACUUGAGUGCAGGAGAGAAAAGUGGAAUUCCUAGUGUAGCGAUGAAAUGCGUAGAGAUUAGGAGGAACACCGGUGGCGAAAGCGGCUUUUUGGCCUGCAACUGACACUGAGGCGCGAAAGCGUGGGGAGCAAACAGG